GAUGAACGCUGGCGGCGUGCCUAAUACAUGCAAGUCGAGCGAACGGACGAGAAGCUUGCUUUUCUGAUGUUAGCGGCGGACGGGUGAGUAACACGUGGAUAACCUACCUAUAAGACUGGGAUAACUUCGGGAAACCGGAGCUAAUAUCGGAUAAUAUUUUGAACCGCAUGGUUCAAAAGUGAAAGACGGUCUUGCUGUCACUUAUAGAUGGAUCCGCGCUGCAUUAGCUAGUUGGUAAGGUAACGGCUUACCAAGGCAACGAUGCAUAGCCGACCUGAGAGGGUGAUCGGCCACACUGGAACUGAGACACGGUCCAGACUCCUACGGGAGGCAGCAGUAGGGAAUCUUCCGCAAUAGGCGAAAGCCUGACGGAGCAACGCCGCGUGAGUGAUGAAGGUCUUCGGAUCGUAAAACUCUGUUAUUAGGGAAGAACAUAUGUGUAAGUAACUGUGCACAUCUUGACGGUACCUAAUCAGAAAGCCACGGCUAACUACGUG
rnacentral:rRNA from 1 species